GAGCUUGCUCUCGGGUGACGAGUGGCGGACGGGUGAGUAAUGUCUGGGAAACUGCCCGAUGGAGGGGGAUAACUACUGGAAACGGUAGCUAAUACCGCAUAACGUCGCAAGACCAAAGAGGGGGACCUUAGGGCCUCUUGCCAUCGGAUGUGCCCAGAUGGGAUUAGCUUGUAGGUGAGGUAACGGCUCACCUAGGCGACGAUCCCUAGCUGGUCUGAGAGGAUGACCAGCCACACUGGAACUGAGACACGGUCCAGACUCCUACGGGAGGCAGCAGUGGGGAAUAUUGCACAAUGGGCGCAAGCCUGAUGCAGCCAUGCCGCGUGUAUGAAGAAGGCCUUCGGGUUGUAAAGUACUUUCAGCGGGGAGGAAGGGAGUGAGGUUAAUAACCUUAUUCAUUGACGUUACCCGCAGAAGAAGCACCGGCUAACUCCGUGCCAGCAGCCGCGGUAAUACGGAGGGUGCAAGCGUUAAUCGGAAUUACUGGGCGUAAAGCGCACGCAGGCGGUCUGUCAAGUCGGAUGUGAAAUCCCCGGGCUCAACCUGGGAACUGCAUUCGAAACUGGCAGGCUGGAGUCUUGUAGAGGGGGGUAGAAUU
rnacentral:rRNA from 1 species